CACGAACUUAAGUGAGCUAGCUUCGUUCAGUGUAAUGAUUAAUGUAGUAUAAUUUGAAAAUAGAAGAAGCUAGGGGUGAUAGGCCCUCAAAUAUAAAGAUAGCUUGUUUUUUCUUAAAGGUAUUUAGUACAUAUAUGGUUCGAUAGUGAUAAGGAUAUCGAAUAGAAUUAAAUAAAAUCAUAAUAUCUUACAAAUUUAAUAGUUAGUAGGUUAUAUUAUUUAACAUUUAUGUUUAGAAAUUAUUUAAAUUAAGGGAAAGUACUAUAACUAAUUAUAAUAUUAAUAAUGUUACUAUUAGUAGUUGUUAAGAUAGUUUUAAUGAACUCGGCAAAACACUUUUCAACUGUUUAUCAAAAACAUAGCCAUAUGUAGGAUAUAUGGUAAUUUCUGCUCAAUGAAUUUUAAAUAGCUGCAGUACUCUGACUGUGCAAAGGUAGCGCAAUCAAUUGGCCUUUAAUUGGGGUCUUGUAUGAAUGGAUAAAUGGGAAGUGACUGUAUCAGAAUACAUUAUUAAUUUAUUGAAUUAAGUGAAAAUUCUUAUAUUUAAAUAAUAGACGAGAAGACCCUUGAAAUUUUAAGAAUAGGCUAUACAUACUUUUUGUUGGGGCAACAAAGUAACAAAGAAUUUACUGUUAGAGCAUAAAAACUAUUGUGACGAAGUUUAAAUUACUCUAGGGAUAACAGCAUAAUUUCAUAAUAGCUUGUGACCUCGAUGUUGGAUUAGGGAUUUACCAUUUAGAA
rnacentral:rRNA from 1 species